rnacentral:tRNA from 6 species
AUGGGUAUAGUUCAAUCGGCAGAACAACGGGCUUCAACCCCGUGUGUUGUGAGUUCAAGUCUUACUACCCAUGCCA